rnacentral:rRNA from 1 species
ACGGCUCAGUAACACGUGGAUAACCUGCCCUUGGGUCCGGCAUAACCCCGGGAAACUGGGGAUAAUUCCGGAUAACGCACAUAUGCUGGAAUGCUUUAUGCGUAAAAUGGAUUCGUCUGCCCAAGGAUGGGUCUGCGGCCUAUCAGGUAGUAGUGGGUGUAAUGUACCUACUAGCCUACGACGGGUACGGGUUGUGAGAGCAAGAGCCCGGAGAUGGAUUCUGAGACAUGAAUCCAGGCCCUACGGGGCGCAGCAGGCGCGAAAACUUUACAAUGCGGGAAACCGUGAUAAGGGGACACCGAGUGCCAGCAUCAUAUGCUGGCUGUCCAGGUGUGUAAAAUACACCUGUUAGCAAGGGCCGGGCAAGACCGGUGCCAGCCGCCGCGGUAACACCGGCGGCCCGAGUGGUGAUCGUGAUUAUUGGGUCUAAAGGGUCCGUAGCCGGUUUGGUCAGUCCUCCGGGAAAUCUGAUAGCUUAACUAUUAGGCUUUCGGAGGAUACUGCCAGACUUGGAACCGGGAGAGGUAAGAGGUACUACAGGGGUAGGAGUGAAAUCUUGUAAUCCCUGUGGGACCACCUGUGGCGAAGGCGUCUUACCAGAACGGGUUCGACGGUGAGGGACGAAAGCUGGGGGCACGAACCGGAUUAGAUACCCGGGUAGUCCCAGCCGUAAACGAUGCUCGCUAGGUGUCAGGCAUGGCGCGACCGUGUCUGGUGCCGCAGGGAAGCCGUGAAGCGAGCCACCUGGGAAGUACGGCCGCAAGGCUGAAACUUAAAGGAAUUGGCGGGGGAGCAC